rnacentral:rRNA from 1 species
UACGUAGGUGGCAAGCGUUGUCCGGAAUUAUUGGGCGUAAAGCGCGCGCAGGCGGUCCUUUAAGUCUGAUGUGAAAGCCCACGGCUCAACCGUGGAGGGUCAUUGGAAACUGGGGGACUUGAGUGCAGGAGGGAAGAGUGGAAUUCCACGUGUAGCGGUGAAAUGCGUAGAGAUGUGGAGGAACACCAGUGGCGAAGGCGACUCACUGGCCCGGUACUGACGCUCAGGUGCGAAAGCGUGGGGAGCAAACAGG